rnacentral:rRNA from 1 species
GACAGAGGGUGCAAACGUUGUUCGGAAUUACUGGGCGUAAAGCGCGUGUAGGCGGCGUAGCAAGUCGGGCGUGAAAGCCCACGGCUCAACCGUGGAAGAGCACUCGAAACUGCUGCGCUAGAGUUCUGGAGAGGAAGGCGGAAUGCUUGGUGUAGAGGUGAAAUUCGUAGAUAUCAAGCGGAACACCGGUGGCGAAGGCG